rnacentral:rRNA from 1 species
UACGUAGGGUGCGAGCGUUGUCCGGAAUUAUUGGGCGUAAAGGGCUCGUAGGCGGUUUGUCGCGUCGGGAGUGAAAACACUGGGCUUAACUCAGUGCUUGCUUCCGAUACGGGCAGACUAGAGGUAUUCAGGGGAGAACGGAAUUCCUGGUGUAGCGGUGAAAUGCGUAGAUAUCAGAAAGAACACCAGUGGCGAAGGCGGCCCUCUGGUCCAUUAUUGACGCUAAAGCACGAAAGCGUGGGUAGCAAACAGG